AGAGUUUGAUCCUGGCUCAGAGCGAACGCUGGCGGCGUGCUUAACACAUGCAAGUCGAGUGCGCGUUUCCGUAGCAAUACGGAAAUGGCGCACGGCGCACGGGUGCGUAACACGUGGGUAAUCUGCCCUCUGAUGGGGAAUAACCCGCCGAAAGGCGGGCUAAUUCCGCAUAACAUUCCUUGGACUCCGGUUCGAGGAUUCAAAGGCGUAAGUCGUCGGAGGUGGAGCCCGCGCACGAUUAGCUAGUUGGUAGGGUAAUGGCCUACCAAGGCUAUGAUCGUUAGCUGGUCUGAGAGGAUGGCCAGCCACACUGGAACUGAGACACGGUCCAGACUCCUACGGGAGGCAGCAGUGGGGAAUCUUGCACAAUGGGCGAAAGCCUGAUGCAGCGACGCCGCGUGGGGGAUGAAGCUUCUCGGAGUGUAAACCCCUUUCGACCGGGACGAAUACCUCGCAAGAGGGGUGACGGUACCGGUAUAAGAAGCCCCGGCUAACUACGUGCCAGCAGCCGCGGUAAGACGUAGGGGGCCAGCGUUGCUCGGAAUUACUGGGUGUAAAGGGUUCGUAGGCGGUGUGGCAAGUCGGGAGUGAAAUCUCUGAGCUUAACUCAGGGGCUGCUUCCGAAACUGCCGUGCUAGAGUGUGGGAGAGGCGCGUGGAAUUGCAGGUGUAGCGGUGAAAUGCGUAGAUAUCUGCAGGAACACCCGUGGCGAAAGCGGCGCGCUGGACCACUACUGACGCUGAGGAACGAAAGCUAGGGGAGCAAACAGGAUUAGAUACCCUAGUAGUCC
rnacentral:rRNA from 1 species